rnacentral:rRNA from 1 species
GACGAACGCUGGCGGCGUGCUUAACACAUGCAAGUCGAACGGAAAGGCCCUGCUUUUGUGGGGUGCUCGAGUGGCGAACGGGUGAGUAACACGUGAGUAACCUGCCCUUGACUUUGGGAUAACUUCAGGAAACUGGGGCUAAUACCGGAUAGGAGCUCCUGCUGCAUGGUGGGGGUUGGAAAGUUUCGGCGGUUGGGGAUGGACUCGCGGUUUAUCAGCUUGUUGGUGGGGUAGUGGCUUACCAAAGCUUUGACGGGUAGCCGGCCUGAGAGGGUGACCGGCCACAUUGGGACUGAGAUACGGCCCAGACUCCUACGGGAGGCAGCAGUGGGGAAUAUUGCACAAUGGGCGGAAGCCUGAUGCAGCAACGCCGCGUGCGGGAUGACGGCCUUCGGGUUGUAAACCGCUUUCGCCUGUGACGAAGCGUGAGUGACGGUAAUGGGUAAAGAAGCACCGGCUAACUACGUG